rnacentral:lncRNA from 1 species
AACCUCUAAAAUUCACAAUCCAACCUUGUGCUUAAUUUAUUUCUGGAUUACUACCAAUCUUUUUCCUGGUUCUUCUGACUCUCUAAAAGAUGAUGAACUAAAAUUGCUCUAUGCCAUGGUACACAAGAUUGAAAUUUCCCCUGUUGAAUUGAUGAUAAGAUUUUAGCUACUUACCCAUGACCCAACUUGGUCCCGCUGGUGUGUUGCCACCAGUAGGACCCUUGCAAUUGAUGUUUCCCAUGUCUUUGGAUUUUAGAAUGCUCAAGAAUCCAAGUGUGGGGGAUCAAGUGGCCCCCCAACUAAGUCUCUGAAUUUCCUGAACACAACAUGACGUAGUACAUGGUGAGGCAAGUUGGCUCGACAAAUUCUACCCUAAGUAGGGGGUCGGCCAACCCCCUCUUUGACGGCCAACGGGAACAGAAGCUUGUAGAGGUACAUCAUCAACAAUGGGAAUUCAAAUGGCAACAAUGGGCAAGCCCAAGUGGGGUCGGCCGACCCCACCUUGGAGCCCUAGACCAACCAUUCAGCAUCCACUCAACAUCUACCUGCCUUCUGACUGGUUUGCCACUCCUACUCCCCCUCUGUUCUUUCAUUUUUAUUACUUUUGUCUCUUGUUUGCUUUAUUAGAUAAAAUAAAACAAAAAUAAAAACAAGAAGACUUGGAUCUAUGAUUUAUGACAUUAAAAAGUGUGACAUGAUUCAUCACAUUAAAAGGGUAAAAGUGUCACAAAGUCUAAUUCUUACAUGUGCUUAUAAUUGUGGGUCACAUAUCUUUAUAGGAAUAUCAUAUUGACAUGGUUGUUGACAAACUGUGAUAUAGUUCUUAGCUCAUGAUUCAUACCCAUUCUAUUCAAAGUGCUUAGAGAUUUAUUUUUGAAAAUAUCAUAAAACCAUAGCGUCACUUACUCCUCAAUAGUAAGAGAAUUCCUACCACAGCCAUAUAUGUUCAUACCUUGUUCAAAACCCUUCUAUAUAUGCUACUUGUACUUGUGUUGAGUUUAGUCAAACCUUGUGACCCUAGUUGAGAAUUAUGGCAUAGUCCCAAGAUCAAGAUCACACACACACCACAUAUAUAUAUGUUGCUUCUACAUUGGAAGUACGCAAAAACAUGCCAUCCAUUUCCACCAUAUAGAUGCUCCAUGUUUUAAGGUUUAGAAUAUCUCUCUCUAAGUAUUGGUUAUAAGAUGAGACACAAAGGUUGUGCUUAGUAAAAAAAAGUGGGCACAUGAAGGUCCAUUGCUUCUGAAAAAAGGGAGAAAAGAAAAAAUAAAAAAAGCUAGCCAUGUCUCAAAUAAAAUAGAGAGAGAUCUUAUCAAAUAUAGGAGCAUUCUAUUCUAAUCAUUUUUCACACACUUACACAUCUUGAUCUAGGAUUAUGACAUUCUUCUCCUUGGAUCCUUGUUUUGACUUUACAAUAGAUACAAUGCAAGUAUGCUAUCUUGUUUCCCCCUACCUGAGCCCCAUAAGCCUAAUAGAUGUAGGAUGAAACAAACGAAGGAAAUCUUAUGAUAUGCCUUGGUGAGGAAUUCUAUACUUAUUGAGUGACUUCAGAGUACUAUUAGAGGAGUAAGGAUAAACUAUGUGCUUUCUUUUAAAACAUUUAUCAAAAACUCUAAGUACAAAGGAUAUGAAAAUGGGAAGAUGACUUUGCUUUGAGAACUGUUCCAUUUUUCAACAUCCUAAGGAUAUAUGUUAGAUAGUGCCACAUAACCCACUUGUAUAAGGAUAUAUGUUAGAUAGUACCAUUGUUUGGGCCCACUAGGGGCUCCCCUCCAUGGCAUGAGCCAUGGCAUACUCCAAGGAGUCAAUCCCAACCCUUGGAUCCAAGUGUGCUUGCCCUCAAUGGUUCAAACACUUAGCACAUGGAUCCUUGGGCCCACAUGAAAGCAAGCACUUGUUACAAUGUAGGGUAGUAGUAGUUAGUCUAGUGUGGGAGUUAGACUUGAGUCGAGUGAAGCUCGCAGUCUCUAGAGUCGUCUUCUGGAGAGUCUGGUAUUCCUCUUUACCUUUUCUCUUGUAAGACUUUGAGUAUUAAUAUAUUUACUUUUCUUUUACUUUUCUAAGUAUUUACUUUCAGUAUCUACAUAGUGCAAUAUUCUGUUGUAGUGUCCUAGUCUGUCUUGUAGUAGUUAUAUACUAGCUAAGUUAGUCUUAAGUGCUUGGGUUGUUUUCUCUGCCAGUAACACGGUGCUUGGACUAGGUCGUAUACUUAGUCUGAGUAGUAGGAGUUAGCAUAAGCAUGGUGCUUAGACUAAAGCCUACCCUUGAAUACCACCAUAUCAAACGUGACAGGCCUAUGCUUCCUAGUAUGUUCUAUUCACGUCGGGUAUGGUCUGUAGGUGCCCAUAAGAAACAAGUCCGCUUGGAUAGGAGUUUUGUCCUCCUAUUGUAGUCUACUUCCAACAAACAAGCAGUUAAGUUUAGCAAUGUUAGUGUGUGUCCGCUACUAGAUUAGAUUGGUUCAUAGGAGUAAAGUUAGAGUCAUAGGAGUCUUUUGUCACUCGUUGUCCUCCCACCUAGCUAGCUCUCUACCAUUUAUCUUUAGAUUAGGAUCUGUGUGAGAUCACUUACCUAUCCUUACCUAUCCUUGACCCUUUGGAUGACCUUGAGCCUAGUUAGUUCACUUCACGUUCCCCGUGGAAAAUAUGAUACCUGGAAUACUCCCGGUGAAAGCUACAUUGACUACUGUACGCUUGCGGUAUUUCCGUUUGCC